rnacentral:rRNA from 1 species
UACAGAGGUCCCAAGCGUUGUUCGGAUUCACUGGGCGUAAAGGGUGCGUAGGUGGCUGGGUAAGUUUGAUGUGAAAUCUCCGGGCUCAACCCGGAAAAUGCAUUGAAUACUAUCCAGCUAGAGGUUUGGAGGGGGGACUGGAAUUCUUGGUGUAGCAGUGAAAUGCGUAGAUAUCGGGAGGAACACCCGUAGCGAAGGCGGCACUCUGGGCCGGAACUGACGCUGAGGAGCGAAAGCGUGGGGAGCGAACAGG